GCUUUGUUUCUUCAUUCAAUCAGAGACAUAUAUACACAUGUGUAUAUAUGUCUCUGAUUCAAUGCUGUAUGUGCCUGACUUGUAAAGUUGACAGCUACCAGUGGUGACGAUACGUGCAUAUCACGAAAAGGAUCUGACAUCAAAGCCCUUCUUUUACCUCUUCUCUUUUAUUGUGUAACUGAAUUGAAAUUUAUUCCUUAUGGAAACCAUGUUGGUGCCUGUGAUUCAGCACGCCAUUUUCUUUGAACCAAAACAACCCUUGUCAUGAGUUUUGCUAUCCCCGAAUUGAACAUACUUUUGUUAUAACUAUCAGCACUUAACAUCUAUACUGUACAGUAUAAAAGUAUAGUUAGUGUUACUAGUGGACUAAUUUUACUAAUAGAUCUCCACUAAUAGUGGCUAAUAUUGCAGGAUCGGGUGGUUGUUUUAAAAUUUGCUCACGCAUCAUUGUCAAUAUAAUGGAAUUUGAUGCGACUGUAAUACAACUGAGAGGUUUAGCUAGCUAUAAAACCAGGUUCAAUUCACCAUUUUCUACACAAGAAAAUGCCUGUACCAAGUCAGGAAUAUGACAGUUGUUAUCCAUUCGUUUGAUGUGUUUGAGCUUUUGAUUUUGCCAUUUGAUAUUAGGGCUUUCUGUUUUAAAUUUUUCUCGGAGUUAAUUAGUAUUUUUGUGAUUUUUUUUUUACAUUAGUUUUUCGAGCAUUCUUUCGUUCAUUUGACUGAUUAUACUUUUAACACAUUACUCAAUAUGUACAAUGGCAGGGGAAUGAUAUUAGACCAUAACAUUUCAAAAUUUGCACUAAAACGGCCAUGGAUUUAAAACUGUUUGCUUGUGCAAUUUCUUUCAUUUUCUGUGAGUAAUCAAUUUGAUUAUGCUAAUAUAAUUGGCACAUUCAGAGGUUGUUGAGUCAAUAUUCCAGGAGAUACAUAUGUG
rnacentral:lncRNA from 1 species